rnacentral:misc_RNA from 1 species
GUUGGUGAACCAGCGGAGGGAUCAUUACAAGAGUAGCCCUAGGCUCUCCAACCCACUGUGAACAUACCUACGUUCCCCCGGCGGGCUCAGCGCGCGGUGCCUCCGGGCGCCGGGCGUCCGCCGAGGGCCCCCAAACUCGAAUUUAUUACGUGUAUAUCUGAGGGGCGAAAGCCUGUAAAAAUAAAUCAAAACUUUCAACAACGGAUCUCUUGGCUCUG